rnacentral:rRNA from 1 species
CAGUCGCCGCGGUAAUACGAAGGGUGCAAGCGUUACUCAGAAUUACUGGGCGUAAAGCGUGCGUAGGUGGUGGUUUAAGUCCGUUGUGAAAGCCCUGGGCUCAACCUGGGAAUUGCAGUGGAUACUGGGUCACUAGAGUGUGGUAGAGGAUAGUGGAAUUUCCGGUGUAGCAGUGAAAUGCGUAGAGAUCGGAAGGAACAUCUGUGGCGAAGGCGACUAUCUGGGCCAACACUGACACUGAGGCACGAAAGCGUGGGGAGCAAACAGGAUUAGAUACCCCCGUAGUCCCUGUCUCUUAUAC